rnacentral:rRNA from 1 species
UACGAAGGGGCUAGCGUUGUUCGGAAUUACUGGGCGUAAAGCGCACGUAGGCGGAUAUUUAAGUCAGGGGUGAAAUCCCAGAGCUCAACUCUGGAACUGCCUUUGAUACUGGGUAUCUUGAGUAUGGAAGAGGUAAGUGGAAUUGCGAGUGUAGAGGUGAAAUUCGUAGAUAUUCGCAGGAACACCAGUGGCGAAGGCGGCUUACUGGUCCAUAACUGACGCUGAGGUGGCGAAA